rnacentral:misc_RNA from 1 species
AGGACACUGAACCUUGAUGCA